CCCCAUGUCUCCUUUGCAGAGCCAUCACUGUAGUGACUUCUGUAUUAACUGUAGAGUUCUAUCGCUUAUAUGGAUGAAACUUCAGAAAUAAACUCAAACCUAGGUUUUCUUAUCCUAGGAAAUAUGGGGUACAGCAGAAUCAGGGCAUGUGGUGAUGGUACAGUGUGGGCCAAAGACUGCAUGGUUGUCCAGCAGGAAUAUAUGAUCAGAGAAAUGGGCUUCUCCAGGCUGCUGUGGGAGAGAGAGCCGAAACCCCCUCCAUCCCCGGGUCCUGACAGCUGGGCCAGGCUCCCCUAGGAGUCUGCAUUCUACUGUCAUAAUGACUGAAGACAUCAAGAAGACAACAAAUCUUGGCAAAGCAGUGGUGGGAAAAAGAACUGCAGUACACUAUUGGUGGGAAUGUAAGCUAGUGUAUCCAGUCUGGAAAUCACCGUGGAGCCUCUUCAGUAAACUAAGCAUAGAAGUAUUGCACAGUCAUUCAUGCGGUGCCACUCUUGAACAUAUACCCUUAGGAAUAAUGAUAACAUCAAUGAUUAUUGCACCAAUACCCAAACUAUAGAAUCUGCCUUGGUAUCUGUCAACUGAAGAAUGGAUAAAGGAAAUGAAAUUGUGCAUGUGUGUGUAUAUAUACAAUGAGCCAUAACAAAUGAAAUUAUGUUGCUUUUAGGAAAAUAGGUAAAACUGAAAAUCAUCAUGUUAAGUGAAAUAAACCAGACUGAGAAAGACAAA